rnacentral:rRNA from 1 species
CGCUGGCGGCGUGCUUAACACAUGCAAGUCGAACGAUGAUGCUGGAGCUUGCUCCAGUUGAUUAGUGGCGAACGGGUGAGUAACACGUGAGCAAUCUGCCCUUGACUCUGGGAUAACUGCGGGAAACUGUAGCUAAUACCGGAUACUUUCACCGGAAGGCAUCUUCUGGUGAUGAAAGAAUUUCGGUCAGGGAUGAGCUCGCGGCCUAUCAGCUUGUUGGUGAGGUAACGGCUCACCAAGGCGACGACGGGUAACCGGCCUGAGAGGGUGACCGGUCACACUGGGACUGAGACACGGCCCAGACUCCUACGGGAGGCAGCAGUGGGGAAUAUUGCACAAUGGGCGCAAGCCUGAUGCAGCAACGCCGCGUGAGGGAUGAAGGCCUUCGGGUUGUAAACCUCUUUUACCCGAGAUGAUAAUGACAGUAUCGGGAGAAUAAGCUCCGGCUAACUCCGUG